CCUGAGAAACCCGAAAGAUCGAAUGGGGAGAUUCAUCGUCAGCGAAUUUUGGUACGUGUGCGGUUCGCGAUGUCGGGGACUUCGGUCUCACGGCACGCGUCCGCAUGUUUUUUAUUGCCUUAAUCGUCGGCGUGCACUUCUCCCCUAGUAGGACGUCGCGACCCGUUGGGUGUCGGUCUACGGCCCGGGUGGUAGCCUGUCUCGUGUGCGCUUCACGGCGUUACGCGGGGCAGACCCCUGUGUGUCUGGCCGACUGCUCGGCGGUACUCGCACGGUAUCUGGCCGCAAAUAUUCGAACUGCGUCCGGCCCGUCGCAAGCGAGGCAGGUGUAUCCCGGAUGUACGGAUCUAAUGCCGUCACCGGGCCCCGCCAGCUGUUGGUUGACGGUGUCCUAGGACCGGCCAAUAAAAUUAUGAUACCGGUCGGCGACGCUACUGCUUUGGGUACUUUCAGGACCCGUCUUGAAACACGGACCAAGGAGUCUAACAUGUGCGCGAGUCAUUGGGAUCUAUUAAGCCUAAAGGCGCAAUGAAAGUGAAGAUCGGCCUUGCGCCGAUCGAGGGAGGAUGGGCCGCGUCACGAUGCGGUCCCGCACUCCCGGGGCGUACUCGUUCUCAUUGC
rnacentral:rRNA from 1 species